GACGAACGCUGGCGGCGUGCUUAACACAUGCAAGUCGAACGGAAAGGCCCUGCUUUUGUGGGGUGCUCGAGUGGCGAACGGGUGAGUAACACGUGAGUAACCUGCCCUUGACUUUGGGAUAACUUCAGGAAACUGGGGCUAAUACCGGAUAGGAGCUCCUGCUGCAUGGUGGGGGUUGGAAAGUUUCGGCGGUUGGGGAUGGACUCGCGGCUUAUCAGCUUGUUGGUGGGGUAGUGGCUUACCAAGGCUUUGACGGGUAGCCGGCCUGAGAGGGUGACCGGCCACAUUGGGACUGAGAUACGGGCCCAGACUCCUACGGGAGGCAGCAGUGGGGAAUAUUGCACAAUGGGCGGAAGCCUGAUGCAGCAACGCCGCGUGCGGGAUGACGGCCUCGGUUGUAACCGCUUCGCCUGUGACGAAGCGUGAGUGACGGUAAUGGGUAAGAGACACCGGCUAAC
rnacentral:rRNA from 1 species